rnacentral:tRNA from 1 species
GCGCCCUUAGCUCAAUUGGAUAGAGCAUCAGCCUUCGAAGCUGAGUGUUAGGUGUUCGAGUCACCUAGGGCGCGCCA